rnacentral:rRNA from 1 species
AUUGAACGCUGGCGGCAGGCCUAACACAUGCAAGUCGAGCGGAUGAAGGGAGCUUGCUCCUGGAUUCAGCGGCGGACGGGUGAGUAAUGCCUAGGAAUCUGCCUGGUAGUGGGGGAUAACGUCCGGAAACGGGCGCUAAUACCGCAUACGUCCUGAGGGAGAAAGUGGGGGAUCUUCGGACCUCACGCUAUCAGAUGAGCCUAGGUCGGAUUAGCUAGUUGGUGGGGUAAAGGCCUACCAAGGCGACGAUCCGUAACUGGUCUGAGAGGAUGAUCAGUCACACUGGAACUGAGACACGGUCCAGACUCCUACGGGAGGCAGCAGUGGGGAAUAUUGGACAAUGGGCGAAAGCCUGAUCCAGCCAUGCCGGGUGUGUGAAGAAGGUCUUCGGAUUGUAAAGCACUUUAAGUUGGGAGGAAGGGCAGUAAGUUAAUACCUUGCUGUUUUGACGUUACCAACAGAAUAAGCACCGGCUAACUUCGUG